rnacentral:rRNA from 1 species
GACGAACGCUGGCGGCGUGCCUAACACAUGCAAGUCGAGCGGUCCGACAUUUAACAUUGAGUAUUCAGUACGAGUUGGCAGAUGAGCCAGCGUCAGGCAGAAAGAUACUUGAGAUCAGAUCAGGUUUUUUGCUUCACGCCAUAUCAAGUGCCGGCGCAAAGGCGGACUGAGUAUUGAAUGUUGAAUGUCGGAUAGCGGCGGACGGGUGAGUAACGCGUGGGCAACCUGCCUUUCACAGGGGGAUAACACAGGGAAACUUGUGCUAAUACCGCAUAACAUCAUGUGGGGCAUCUCAUGUGAUCAAAGGAGCAAUCCGGUGAAAGAUGGGCCCGCGUCCAAUUAGCUAGUUGGUGAGUAAUGGCUCACCAAGGCGACGAUUGGUAGCCGAACUGAGAGGUUGAUCGGCCACAUUGGGACUGAGACACGGGCCCCAGGACCUCCGUACGGGACGGCAGGCCAGGUGGGGAAUAGUUGACGACG